rnacentral:piRNA from 2 species
UGAUAAUAUGACCUAGAUACCCUACUUC